UAUUCCAGCAGCCGCGGUAAUACGUUCCCGGGUCUUGUACUCACCGCCCGUCACACCACGAGAGUUUACAACACCCGAAGCCGGUGGGGUAACCCGCAAGGGAGCUAGCCGUCGAAGGUGGGGUAGAUGAUUGGGGUGAAGUCGUAACAAGGUAGCCGUAUCGGAAGGUGCGGCUGGAUCACCUCCUUUCUAAGGAUAUACCUCAUCUCGCAGAAGAUGAGAUACCGUUCGACGACGCGAAUCUAUUUGUUCAGUUUUGAUGGAAUUUGAUUAUAUGGGGACAUAGCUCAGCUGGGAGAGCGCCUGCCUUGCACGCAGGAGGUCAGGAGUUCGAUCCUCCUUGUCUCCACCAAUUAUAUUUCAUCUUUGCACCUUGAAAACUGGAUAGCGAAACAAAGCAUAGUAACGUCCUUUAGCUGGGAUAGUGAAACAUGGAUGUUUUUUCUUUAUGAAAAGACAUCUAAAGGAAACGUAUUUUUCUUUCGGAGAAAACGUUCCGCUGAAUGCUGCAUUCGAUUCCUUGAAUCGAACGCAAACCAAUCAGCGUAGGUUAAGCUACUAAGAGCGCACGGAGGAUACCUAGGCACACAGAGA
rnacentral:misc_RNA from 1 species